rnacentral:lncRNA from 1 species
AUGAGGAGAAGCUGUCAGUUGCAUGGGGAGAGAGACAUUGUGUGGACUAGACUGAACAAACAGAGAGAGGGAAGACUAGGACCAGGACCAAGUCAUACAUUCAACUCCAGCCAGAACCCGAUCACAAAGAUCUUGACCACAGUUAUGGACCAAACAGAGACUAAAGUGCAGUCUGCAUGUCCACAGAAGCAAUCUGCAAAGAGCAGAUCCAAGUCCACAGAGGAGGAAAAUCGAUCGAAGAAGACAUUCCACACUCCCCAGAAGUCUCUCCCGGUGCAGACCGACAUUGAGAAUAUCAAGAUGGAUUCAGCACCGCCUACGUCCUAAAACACACAUCUCUCCAAGUGCAGAAUCCAGUUGAGAGCAAUAGAGAAAACAAUUUAACAUUAACGUUCAAUAUCUUAUGCUCAUUUGUAACUUAUGUUGGGUUCUUCAUCAACCAUGGUACUGUGAGCCUUAAUUUGAAUAACACUGAUGCUCUUAAUAAACUUGAUCAAUAAAAGUGUUAAAUAGAUGCA